CAGGGAGACAACAAAAUGUUUAAAAUUAUUAUUUUGUCACCUUAGGUCGAUCGGUAUCUCACGUUCUUAAUUUGUUAAGAAUUUCAUUUCCUAAGUUUUUCUAGGUCACACCCAUUAUUUUUCCUGGGCCAUUAGCUCAGGUGGUUAGAGCGCACCCCUGAUAAGGGUGAGGUCCCUGGUUCAAGUCCAGGAUGGCCCAUAUCUCUAUGUUGGGGGUAUAGCUCAGUUGGUAGAGCGCCUGCUUUGCAAGCAGGAUGUCAGCGGUUCGAGUCCGCUUACCUCCACUGAUUACCACCUCUUCCAUAACUGGUAGAAAGGAAAUGUUUUGAGUUGUGAUUAUUAUUCUGAACGAAUCUAGCUUCCUAAUGAAAUCAUUAAGAUGCUGGACUCAUUGAAUUAAUUUCAUUGUUUUCAGAGAACCUUGACAACUGCAUAGAUUUUUUUAAAGACAAUAAGCAUCUUUAAUGAUGCAGAUUUAUUAUUUGUGCGAAUGCAUUAAUAACAAUUCUAUUAAGCUGAUGCUUCAAUUUUUGAAGUUAUU
rnacentral:tRNA from 1 species